rnacentral:rRNA from 1 species
CAGCAGCCGCGGUAAUACGAAGGGGGCUAGCGUUGCUCGGAAUCACUGGGCGUAAAGCGAGCGCAGGCGGUUAGAUAAGUCUGAAGUUAAAGGCUGUGGCUUAACCAUAGUACGCUUUGGAAACUGUUAAACUUGAGUGCAGGAGAGAAAAGUGGAAUUCCUAGUGUAGCGGUGAAAUGCGUAGAAAUUAGGAGGAACACCAGUGGCGAAGGCGGCUUUUUGGCCUGUAACUGACACUGAGGCGCGAAAGCGUGGGGAGCAAACAGGAUUAGAUACCCCCGUAGUCCCUGUCUCUUAUACA